GGGUCCGGGGCUAUGUAGCCCCGGAGGUCAACGCGGAUGGUCGGGCCGCCAUCCG
rnacentral:ncRNA from 1 species